UACGAAGGGGGCUAGCGUUGCUCGGAAUUACUGGGCGUAAAGGGUUUGUAGGUGGCCUGCUAAGUCAGACGUGAAAUCUCUCAGCUUAACUGGGGAACUGCGUCUGAUACUGGCGGGCUUGAGGACAGGAGAGGAACGCGGAAUUCCAGGUGUAGCGGUGAAAUGCGUAGAUAUCUGGAGGAACACCGGUGGCGAAGGCGGCGUUCUGGACUGUUUCUGACACUGAAAAACGAAAGCCAGGGGAGCAAACGGG
rnacentral:rRNA from 1 species